rnacentral:tRNA from 1 species
GGGCGGUUAGCUCAGCUGGUUAGAGCGUCACAUUGACAUUGUGAAGGUCGGAGGUUCGAGCCCUCUACCGCCCA